GAAUAUAUUAAGUUGGAGCAAAAGUAAUUGCAGAUUUGCCAUUGAAAGUAAUGGCAAGAACCACAGUUGCUUUUGCACCAACCUAAUAAUA
rnacentral:miRNA from 10 species